rnacentral:rRNA from 1 species
CACACGACUCUCGGCAACGGAUAUCUCGGCUCUCGCAUCGAUGAAGAACGUAGCAAAAUGCGAUACCUGGUGUGAAUUGCAGAAUCCCGCGAACCAUCGAGUUUUUGAACGCAAGUUGCGCCCGAGACCUUCUGGUUGAGGGCACGUCUGCCUGGGCGUCACG